rnacentral:rRNA from 1 species
CCUACGGGGGGCAGCAGUGAGGAAUAUUGGUCAAUGGACGAGAGUCUGAACCAGCCAAGUAGCGUGAAGGAUGACUGCCCUAUGGGUUGUAAACUUCUUUUAUAUGGGAAUAAAAUGUUCCACGUGUGGGAUUUUGUAUGUACCAUAUGAAUAAGGAUCGGCUAACUCCGUGCCAGCAGCCGCGGUAAUACGGAGGAUCCGAGCGUUAUCCGGAUUUAUUGGGUUUAAAGGGAGCGUAGGUGGAUUGUUAAGUCAGUUGUGAAAGUUUGCGGAUCAACCGUAAAAUUGCAGUUGAAACUGGCAGUCUUGUGUACAGUAGAGGUGGGCGGAAUUCGUGGUGUAGCGGUGAAAUGCUUAGAUAUCACGAAGAACUCCGAUUGCGAAGGCAGUUCACUGGACUGCAACUGACACUGAGGCUCGAAAGUGUGGGUAUCAAACAGGAUUAGAUACCCCGGUAGUC